rnacentral:tRNA from 1 species
UCCCGGGUAGCUCAAUGGUAGAGCAUCCCGCUGUUAACGGGAGGGUUGUAGGUUCGAGUCCUACCCCGGGAGCCA